UACAGAGGGUGCAAGCGUUAAUCGGAUUUACUGGGCGUAAAGGGCGCGUAGGCGGUUAUAUAAGUGAGAUGUGAAAUCCCUGGGCUUAACCUAGGAACUGCAUCUCAUACUGUAUGACUGGAGUAUUGUAGAGGGUAGUGGAAUUUCCGGUGUAGCGGUGAAAUGCGUAGAGAUCGGAAGGAACACCAGUGGCGAAGGCGGCUACCUGGACAAAUACUGACGCUGAGGCGCGAGAGCGUGGGGAGCAAACAGG
rnacentral:rRNA from 1 species